GCUGUAGCUCAGUGACAGAGCAUUUGCCUUGCAUGCAGAAUGUCCCAGGUUCAAUCCCCAGCGUCUCCA